rnacentral:rRNA from 1 species
GAGGAAAAGAAACUAACAAGGAUUCCCCUAGUAACUGCGAGUGAAGAGGGAAGAGCUCAAAUUUUGAAUCUGGCGGUCGUCUGGCCGUCCGAGUUGUAAUCUAGAGAAGCGUCUUCCGCGUCGGACCCGUGUACAAGUCUCCUGGAAGGGAGCGUCAUAGAGGGUGAGAAUCCCGUCUUUGACACGGACGAACCGAGGCUAUGUGAUGCGCUCUCGACGAGUCGAGUUGUUUGGGAAUGCAGCUCAAAACGGGUGGUAAAUUCCAUCUAAAGCUAAAUACAGGCGAGAGACCGAUAGCGAACAAGUACCGUGAGGGAAAGAUGAAAAGAACUUUGGAAAGAGAGUUAAACAGUAUGUGAAAUUGCUGGAAGGGAAACGUUUGAUGUCAGUCGCGUCGGCUGGGGGUCAAUCUGGCUUUGGCUUCAUUGCUUUUGCUGGGUGUAUUUCCUGGUCGACGGGUCAGCGUCAGUUUUCGUCGCUCGUACAAUGGCGGAGGGAACGUGGCACUCUUUCGGGAGUGUGUUAUAGCCCUUCGUCGUAUGCGGUGGUGGGGACUGAGGAACUCAGCACAGCGAAUGUGUUUAGGAUGCUGGCAUAAUGGCCUUAAGCGACCCGUCUUGAAACACGGACCAAGGAGUCUAACAUGCCUGCGAGUGUUUGGGUGGGCAAACUCGAGCGCGAAAUGAAAGUGAAGGGUCGAGACCUCUGUCAUGGAGG